rnacentral:rRNA from 1 species
CCCCAGCGCCACAAGUGGGAACCACGUUUAUUGGGUCUAAAGCAUCCGUAGUCGGUUUGGCAAAUGCCCUGUGAAAUCGCAUCGCUUAACGGUGCGGCGUGCAGGGUAGACUACCAAACUAGGGACCAGGAAAGGAAAGCGGUAUUUCUGAGGGAGCGGUAAAAUGUUAUAAUCUCAGAAGGACCACCAAUGGCGAAGGCAGCUUUCUAGAAUGGAUCCGACGAUGAGGGAUGAAAGCUAGGGGAGCGAUCCGG